UGCCUCGUAGCCAAGUGGUAAGGCAUCAGACUUUGACUCUGACAUGCG
rnacentral:tRNA from 1 species